AGCAGCCGCGGUAAUUCCAGCUCCAAUAGCGUAUAUUAAAGUUGUUGCAGUUAAAAAGCUCGUAGUUGAAUUUCGGGGUUAGUAGGUUGGCCAUGCCUCUGGUAUGUACUGGUCUCACUGAUUCCUCCUUCCUGAUGAGCCGUAAUGCCAUUAAUUUGGUGUUGCGGGGAAUUUGGACUGUUACUUUGAAAAAUUAGAGUGUUUAAAGCAAGCUAACGCUUGAAUACAUUAGCAUGGAAUAAUGAAAUAGGACGUUCGAUCCUAUCUUGUUGGUUUCUAGGAUUGACGUAAUGAUUAAUAGGGAUAGUUGGGGGCAUUAGUAUUCAAUUGUCAGAGGUGAAAUUCUUGGAUUUAUUGAAGACUAACUACUGCGAAAGCAUUUGCCAAGGAUGUUUUCAUUAAUCAAGAACGAAAGUUAGGGGAUCGAAGACGACCAGAUACCGUCGUAGUCUUAACCAUAAACUAUGCCGACUAGGGAUCGGAUGAUGUUAAUUUUUUAAUGUACUCAUUCGGCGUACCC
rnacentral:rRNA from 1 species